CCUCUUGCCACCACUCGGCAUUUUGGUUGAAUGUUGCCUUUUCCUAAGCCACCCAUGGCUCUGCCCUGCCUCAUCCUGUGCCUAGAAAGACCCCAGACUCAUCUGGCAGAGAGGAGAAGCAGCUGGAUGAGGGGACGACCAUGGCUGGAUGUCAGAGAGAAGCAGCUUGUCUUCAGAGGGACAGCUUAAGGCGUAACUUCUGAGACGAAUCUGGCUGGAGAUAGCUGGACUUCAAGGGAAGACUACAUACCGGCCUGUCCCACCCCCCUCUUUUCAGCUCACCUUCCCUCUGAAAUCCACUUUGAUCAGCAAUAAAAUCCCAGGCAUUUGUCCUUUAAUUUGUUCGUGCAGCUUUAUUUUUCUUGGACGCUGGACAAGAGCUCGGGAGCCACGAGUGCGGAUACAAAAGCUGUCACGCUGGCCCUCUGCCCUUGCUGGUGGAGGGCAACCGCGGGCCCACGGAGCUGUUAACACUUAAGCUGUCCACGGACGACAGAGCCAAAAGAACACUGUAACAUGCCCUCUGGGGCUUCAGGAGCCUCAGGCACUCUGCCUGGACACUGCCCCGGGGCCUGCACGGAGUUCGCUCCUGCCGGUGUCCAAAAGCGCACGCUCUGGCUCCUGCACCCACUCACCUGCACGCUCCCUCCUAUGAGGGGUGGAACGCGGUGAAUCUUGAGUGAGUGGAGUGUGAUCCCACUGGUGCUGAAAAACGGCUGGCUUGUUCCAGCGCUUGUGCACUCCAGUUCCCGCCUUGUUCACUUGCGUACUCCCUCCCAUGAGGAGUUGAGAGCAGCGGGCUGAGUAAACGGGGCACCCCUGUUGUGAGUCCUGUGAAAGGUCAGGGCAAUAUCCUGCUUCAGCAGCACCGUGAAGGAGAAUGAACAGGGCUUCAGAAUGAGGUGAUCUCUUGCCUGUCGUGUGAUCCUGAGCACACAGCUUCAUUUCUCUGAGCCUUCAUUGCUUGACGUUCAAGAACUAUAAAGGACCUAAAAAUACCACUUCACAGUAGGUGUGAAGUUUCAAGGAAGCAACAAGCAUGAACAUUAAAAAAAAAAAAAAAAAUCCAGGUUGCUGACUGAAUGUUUUUAUCACCAUCAAGAGCUGUCAUAGGAGAGCUUCCUUUUGAUGUUAAAACUUGUUUCUCAAACUCAACCCUCUAAAACGUAACUCUUCCCUCCCACCCCCAACCAUUCAGCCUUCCAGUUCUGCCUUCCUCCUAGAGUACACACUCUGUAGGCUCCCAAUCUGUCACCUCACCCAGUUGUUUCUUUCCAUCAGAUGUUCCUCAGACACAUCCAUCUUCAUCUGAGCUCUUGUCACUUCCUGCCCCUCAGCUAAGAGUCCUUCUUCCAGGACAGGCUCUGGUAGCAUCCUAAACCUCACCUUCCAGCUUUUCUAACAGUUUCAAUUUUACAUUUGCUUGUGCGAUCCUUUCUGAUGUCUAAGAUUAACAAUCUCAGGUCACAGACUUUCCUGGGAAAGAAAUUUAACCUUUUUUUUUUUCUAUGACAAAUUAAUUUCUUUUCAACUCUCUUUUCCAUGUGGGUAGUAGAAACAGUCUCAGACAGUUCAGGGUUCUUCCCAUCCUUGAUUUUCAGGUCGUAGACACCUUUUGGAAAAUGAAUAUAGGGCCAAAGUUGGGGGAGAA
rnacentral:lncRNA from 10 species